rnacentral:rRNA from 1 species
UGGGGAAUUUUGGACAAUGGGCGAAAGCCUGAUCCAGCAAUGCCGCGUGUGUGAAGAAGGCCUUCGGGUUGUAAAGCACUUUUGUCCGGAAAGAAAUCCUCUGGGGUUAAUACCCUCGGGGGGAUGACGGUACCGGAAGAAUAAGCACCGGCUAACUACGUGCCAGCAGCCGCGGUAAUACGUAGGGUGCAAGCGUUAAUCGGAAUUACUGGGCGUAAAGCGUGCGCAGGCGGUUUUGUAAGACGGAUGUGAAAUCCCCGGGCUUAACCUGGGAACUGCAUUCGUGACUGCAAGGCUAGAGUAUGGCAGAGAGGGGUUAGGAAAUUUCCACGUGUAGCAGUGAAAUGCGUAGAGAUGUGGAGGAAUACCGAUGGCGAAGGCAGCCCCCUGGGCCAAUACUGACGCUCAUGCACGAAAGCCGUGGGGGAGCAAACAGGA